rnacentral:rRNA from 1 species
CGAACGGGUGAGUAACACGUGAAGAACCUGCCCUUCAGUGGGGGACAACAGUUGGAAACGACUGCUAAUACCGCAUAAGACCACAGUACCGCAUGGUACAGUGAUCAAAGGAUUUAUUCGCUGAAGGAUGACUUCGCGUCCGAUUAGGUAGUUGGUGAGGUAACGGCCCACCAAGCCUACGAUCGGUAGCCGGACUGAGAGGUUGAUCGGCCACAUUGGGACUGAGACACGGCCCAGACUCCUACGGGAGGCAGCAUG